CCGGAAGUGUUUUUUUCACAUUUUGCCCAACAGCGCAUGCGCAUGAAGUUCUCUCUUCUUGGCGGGAACGCGACGAAUCGAGUUUUGAAGUGCUGUAGAAAACCAGGUGUGUUCAACCAUGGCAUCAAACGUGCGAGAUGCAAAGGACAAACCUUUAAACAAUGUGAUCAUGUACUGGUCGACCUCCCACAACAUAAUGUACUGUAGGGAAGUCCUGUUUACCAACCCCUUCCAGUUCAAAAAAUCUUCAACUGGGAGAACGGAAGCGUGGAAAAGCCUUGCUGACACUCUAAAUAAGUGUGACACUCCAAGGUUUAAUGUGGACUCAAGAGCAGUAAGGGACCACUUGGGAAACUUGAUUAAGAAGUACAAAAAGCAGAUGAGGGCCGAGGAGAGGGCAUCAGGUAUCGCCCAGAUGAGCCCAGUGAGCUGGACCAAUUGAUCGAACAGAUUAUUGAACUGGAAGAAACUACAGUACCAGAGGAUAGUCAGCGUCAGGCGAAAGAAAAGGCUGAUAAAGCCAAAGCUGAGGAUGUCAGACUGACAGCUAUGGAAAGGCUGUCACAGACAAAGAAGAGAGAUUUCAGAGAGGGUGAUGUGGAUGUAAAACCUAAGCGACAAAGAAGGAAGGGAGGAGAUGCAAUUGAGUUUUUGAAAGAGAGAGCUGACAAAAACAGUGAACUUAGAGAAAAGGAGCUCAACAU